AAAAUAGAAAAAAUUUGGCUUCGAAUCAGAUAUAGGUCUAUACCCUAUUUUA
rnacentral:tRNA from 1 species